AUUGAACGCUAACGGCGUGCUUAACACAUGCAAGUCGAGCGGCAGCACAGUAGUAGCAAUACUAUGGGUGGCGAGCGGCGGACGGGUGAGUAAUACAUAGGAAUCUGCCUUAUAGCGGGCGAUGACCCGGGGAAACUCGCGGUAAUACCGCAUAAUCUCUCCGGAGAAAAGGUUGGGACCCUCGGCCCAGAUUCCAAAAGCUUAACCUAUGUUGGAUUAGCUAGUUGGUAGGGUAAAGGCCUACCAAGGCAAGGAUCAACAGCUGGUCUGAGAGGAUGAUCAGCCACACUGGGACUGAGACACGGCCCAGACUCCUACGGGAGGCAGCAGUGGGGAAUAUUGGACAAUGGGCGCAAGCAUAAUCCAGCAACGCCGUGUGUGUGAAGAAGGCCUUAGGGUUGUAAAGCACUUUUAGUGGGGAAGAAAAGUUCAUGGCUAAUAUCCAUGAAUGCUGACGUUACCCACAGAAAAAGCACUGGCUAACUCUGUGCCAGCAGCCGCAGUAA
rnacentral:rRNA from 1 species